UGCCAGACUCCUACGGGAGGCAGCAGUGGGGAAUAUUGCACAAUGGGGGAAACCCUGAUGCAGCGACGCCGCGUGGGCGACGAAGCGCUCCGGCGCGUAAAGCCCUGUCAGCAGGGAAGAACAAAGACAGUACCUGACCAAGAAGCCACGGCUAGCUACGUGCCAGCAGCCGCGGUAAUACGUAGGUGGCAAGCGUUAUCCGGAAUGAUUGGGCGUAAAGGGUGCGCAGGCGGAACCAUAAGUCUGAAGUAAAAGCCAUCGGCUCAACCGAUGUAAGCUUUGGAAACUGUGGAUCUAGAGUGCAGGAGAGGACAGUGGAAUUCCAUGUGUAGCGGUAAAAUGCGUAGAUAUAUGGAGGAACACCAGUGGCGAAGGCGGCUGUCUGGCCUGUAACUGACGCUGAGGCACGAAAGCGUGGGGAGCAAAUAGGAUUAGAUACCCCAGUA
rnacentral:rRNA from 1 species